AAUCGUGCUGCGGACCCAGAGAAGUCUUGAGCCUGAGCCCAAGGAGCCAGUGUCACCACGAAGCCCUAAGACUGAGCCUGUCCAGGAGCUUCCUACUCACGUACCCAAGCUCUGCAUUGGAGACUUGGACUUCUCAGAUCUAGGGGAGGAUGAAGACCAGGACACAUUGAAUGUGGAAUCUGUGGAGGCUGGAAAAGCAUCCCUGGUCCUGUCACUUCCACCCUUUUCCCCACUCAGCCCUUGACGGCCCAAGGCACCCCACCAAAAGGAAGACUGUAAAACUUUUCUGGCGGGAACUAAAGCCGACUGGGAGCCCUGGGUGUUCUAGAAGCCGCUUUGGGCCUUGUCCUACCUUGUGGGCCUCUCUGGAACCUGUCUCGGUGGACACAGCCCGGCUGGAACACCUAUUUGAGUCCCGAGCCAAGGAUGUGCUACCCACCAAGGUAGAUGGGCUUGG
rnacentral:lncRNA from 1 species